rnacentral:rRNA from 1 species
GAUGAACGCUGGCGGCGUGCUUAACACAUGCAAGUCGAACGGAAAGGCUCCUGCUUGCAGGGGUACUCGAGUGGCGAACGGGUGAGUAACACGUGGGUGAUCUGCCCUUCACUUCGGGAUAAGCCUGGGAAACUGGGGCUAAUACCGGAUAGGACCACAUUUUGGAUGGUGUGGUGGAAAGUUUUUCGGUGUGGGAUGAGCUCGCGGCCUAUCAGCUUGUUGGUGGGGUAAUGGCCUACCAAGGCGUCGACGGGUAGCCGGCCUGAGAGGGUGUACGGCCACAUUGGGACUGAGAUACGGCCCAGACUCCUACGGGAGGCAGCAGUGGGGAAUAUUGCACAAUGGGCGCAAGCCUGAUGCAGCGACGCCGCGUGGGGGAUGACGGCCUUCGGGUUGUAAACUCCUUUCGCUAGGGACGAAGCGCAAGUGACGGUACCUGGAGAAGAAGCACCGGCUAACUACGUG